rnacentral:rRNA from 1 species
GACGAACGCUGGCGGCGUGCCUAACACAUGCAAGUCGAACGGAACUGUUUUGACAGAUUUCUUCGGAAUGAAUUUGCUCUAGUUUAGUGGCGGACGGGUGAGUAACGCGUGAGUAACUUGCCUUCAAGAGGGGAAUAACAUUCUGCAAAGAAUACUAAUACCGCAUGACAUACCGGAACCACAUGGUUUUGAUAUCAAAGAUUUUAUCGCCUGAAGAUGGACUCGCGUCCGUUUCGUUAGUUGGCUAGAGAACGGCUCACCAAGACUGCGAUCGGUAGCCGGACGGAGAGGUUGAACGGCCACAUCGAGACGGAAACACGGCCCAGACUCCUACGAGAGGCAGCAGUGGGGGAUAAUGCGAAAUGGGGGCAACUCUGACGCAGCAACGCCGCGUGAAGAAUGAAGGUUUUCGGAUUGUAAACUUCUUUUAUUAAGGACGAAAAAUGACGGUACUUAAUGAAUAAGCUCCGGCUAACUACGUG